GGAGUAUGUGGUUUAAUUCGACGCAACGCGAAGAACCUUACCAGGGCUUGACAUCCUCUGACGACAGCAGAGAUGCUGUUUUCCCUUCGGGGACAGAGAGACAGGUGGUGCAUGGUUGUCGUCAGCUCGUGUCGUGAGAUGUUGGGUUAAGUCCCGCAACGAGCGCAACCCCUAUGGUCAGUUGCCAGCACAUGAAGGUGGGCACUCUGGCGAGACUGCCGUUGACAAAACGGAGGAAGGUGGGGACGACGUCAAAUCAUCAUGCCCCUUAUGUCCUGGGCUACACACGUACUACAAUGGCAACAACAGAGGGCAGCCAUGCCGCGAGGCAGAGCGAAUCCCAAAAUGUUGUCUCAGUUCAGAUUGCAGGCUGCAACUCGCCUGCAUGAAGUCGGAAUUGCUAGUAAUGGCAGGUCAGCAUACUGCCGUCGAAUACGUUCCGGGCCUU
rnacentral:rRNA from 1 species